UACGGGGGGAGCAAGCGUUGUUCGGAUUUACUGGGCGUAAAGGGCGCGUAGGCGGUCAGCACAAGUCAGUUGUGAAAUCUCCGGGCUUAACUCGGAAAGGUCAACUGAUACUGUGCGACUAGAGUGCGGAAGGGGCAACUGGAAUUCUUGGUGUAGCGGUGAAAUGCGCAGAUAUCGGGAGGAACACCAACGGCGAAGGCAGCACUCUGGGCUGGAACUGACGCUGAGGAGCGAAAAGCGUGGGUAGCAAACAGG
rnacentral:rRNA from 1 species